UGGGGAAUAUUGCACAAUGGGCGCAAGCCUGAUGCAGCCAUGCCGCGUGUAUGAAGAAGGCCUUCGGGUUGUAAAGUACUUUCAGCGGGGAGGAAGGGAGUAAAGUUAAUACCUUUGCUCAUUGACGUUACCCGCAGAAGAAGCACCGGCUAACUCCGUGCCAGCAGCCGCGGUAAUACGGAGGGUGCAAGCGUUAAUCGGAAUUACUGGGCGUAAAGCGCACGCAGGCGGUUUGUUAAGUCAGAUGUGAAAUCCCCGGGCUCAACCUGGGAACUGCAUCUGAUACUUGCAAGCUUGAGUCUCGUAGAGGGGGGUAGAAUUCCAGGUGUAGCGGUGAAAUGCGUAGAGAUCUGGAGGAAUACCGGUGGCGAAGGCGGCCCCCUGGACGAAGACUGACGCUCAAGUGCGAAAGCGUGGGGAGCAAACAGG
rnacentral:rRNA from 1 species